GCAUAUCAAUAAGCGGAGGAAAAGAAACCAACAGGGAUUGCCUUAGUAACGGCGAGUGAAGCGGCAAAAGCUCAAAUUUGAAAUCGGCCACCAGGUCGAGUUGUAAUUUGUAGAUUGUAUCUUGAGAGCGGACUAAAGUCUGUUGGAAUACAGCGCCUUAGAGGGUGACAGCCCCGUAAAGUCUAUUCUCAUUGUAAGAUGCUUUCGAAGGGUCGAGUUGUUUGGGAAUGCAGCUCUAAGUGGGAGGUAAAUUCCUUCUAAAGCUAAAUAUUGACGAGAGACCGAUAGCGAACAAGUACUGUGAAGGAAAGAUGAAAAGCACUUUGAAAAGAGAGUGAAAAAGUACGUGAAAUUGUUAAAAGGGAAGGGUAUUGAAUCAGACAUGGUGCCUGUUGUUCAGCUUUGCUUCGGCAUGGUGUAUUCAGCAGCACUGGGCCAAGGCGGGGUGAUUGGGAGUGAAAAAGGAAUAGGAAUGUGGCUCUUCGGAGUGUUAUAACCUGGUUUCAUAACUCCUCAGUCGCCUCAGGACUGCGCUUCGGCAAGGACUUUGGCGUAAUGAUUCUAUACCGCCCGUCUUGAAACACGGACC
rnacentral:rRNA from 1 species